CGGCGUGCCUAACACAUGCAAGUCGUACGAGAAAGCCGGCUUCGGCUGGUGAGUAAAGUGGCGCACGGGUGAGUAACGCGUGGAUAAUCUGCCCUUAAGUGUGGAAUAACGUCCGAAAAGGUGCGCUAAUACCGCAUAAUGCCUGGCAACACAAGUUGUCCGGCCAAAGAAGGCCUCUGUUUACAAGCUUUCGCUUCAGGAUGAGUCCGCGUACCAUUAGCUUGUUGGUGGGGUAAUGGCCUACCAAGGCUGCGAUGGUUAGCUGGUCUGAGAGGAUGAUCAGCCACACUGGAACUGAGACACGGUCCAGACUCCUACGGGAGGCAGCAGUGAGGAAUAUUGCGCAAUGGGGGCAACCCUGACGCAGCAACGCCGCGUGAGUGAGGAAGGUUUUCGGACUGUAAAGCUCUGUCGAGCGGGAAGAAGUGUACCAUGGCUAAUAUCCAUGAUAUUUGACGGUACCGCUAGAGGAAGCACCGGCUAACUCCGUG
rnacentral:rRNA from 1 species